ensembl:lncRNA
GAGGCGGGCGAAGAAAACAUCUCCAAUUAUAUGCCGUCGAUGACAUCCUGACCCUUCUUCCCCACGUGACGGUGGUGGGAAACAAUUUCAAGUAAGAACAGUGUGGAUCUAUUGGGAAGUAUCAAUGGUGAGGAGUUGGCUGCUGUAGGAGGAAAUCAGCUGUGCGUGUAUUAUUACCUGCUGUGGAGUUCUUCAAAGGUUCGCCCCUGUCUAGAUCUCUUGACUUGUCGGUUGGUAGAAAGAAGAGGGAAGCGUUCGACCCAUCCAGUGUAGUACACCCCGGGUGAGACAACUUACCUGUGUGUGACGCCAGCGGAGGCCGUGUUCGGCCCAACGCAACAGUUUUCGAUCCGCCUCUCUAUCAGCAGUUGGUAGAAGCCUCAGAAAAGGAACGUCUGACGUCUAUUCCUUCGAAGGUCUGUGAGUUACAUCACUUCCUGUUUCCCUGUAUAUUCACCGUAAGCGUAUGCCCAAAGCUAAAGUCAGCAUAUUGUGUUGUACACCCACCUGUCUGCCCAGAGUAAAGUCCCAGUUAUAUUGGAUGUACUUACCUUAUGCCCAAAGCUAAAGCCAGCAUAUUGUGUUGUACACUCGCGUGUAUGCCCAAGUGAAGUCCCAGUUACAUUUGAUGUACUUACCCUAUGCCCAAAGCUAAAGCCAGCAUAUUGUGUUGUACACUCGCCUGUCUGCCCAGAGUGAAGUCCCAGUUGUAUUGGAUGUACUUACCUUAUGCCCAAAGCUAAAGCCAGCAUAUUGUGUUGUACACUCGCCUGUCUGCCCAAAGUGAAGUCCCAGUUACCUUUGAUGUACUUACCUUAUGCCCAAAGCUAAAGCCAGCAUAUUGUGUUGUACACUCGCCUGUCUGCCCAGAGUGAAGUCCCAGUUGUAUUGGAUGUACUUACCUUAUGCCCAAAGCUAAAGCCAACAUAUUGUGUUGUACACUCGCCUGUAUGCUCAAGUGAAACCCCAGUUGUCUUUCCUACGGACUUACUUGUGCCCCCGAGUGAAGAGCCAGCGGCCCCUCUGUCCACUAUCCGUGUCCAGUCCUGUUACACUUACCUUUAUGCUCUUGUGCAGAUCUAGCGGGUCCCUUUGAAGCGUCUACCUGCAUGUCGACUCGUCACUCAGGAUACAGAGACCGUGGAAACCCCCUCCCGUACACUUACCAGUACGGUUUUAGUUGGAUCCCGGCAGCCCUUGGGCAGUUCCCCCAGCAUCUGGACGACCGGGAGUAUAAUCCGCUGGGUCGCCUCGGAGUUCGUCAAAAGUAGCAGCAGGUAUCCAUUGUGCAUCCAAACUCUCAAUACUUACCACUUGUAUCUGUUACGUCCAGGAAAGGAGAGGGCCCUGGACAGUCGUCCUGCAAGCCAGAACAAAGGGGCACUUGCGAAUAAGCUGAUUGUCGUCACAUAGCCAGAAGGAAAGAGGAGUGAAGGACUCACCUGAGAUCUCCCGUGACGGAGUCUAAGAGACUCGAGACUGUUACUCUCCAAAAGGAGGGUUGGAUUUUAGCCUCCCUUCCCCAUACCCUUUUUUUAGUAAUUUAAUAAAGUCUGUUUUAAUAUUUACUUACCGGC